rnacentral:lncRNA from 1 species
GCUGGCAGGACCACUGCAGACAAAUGAUCAUGAUCAGAAGCAUCUUCCUGUUCUUGGACCGCACCUAUGUGCUGCAGAACUCCACGCUGCCCUCCAUCUGGUGAGUGUCCUCACAGCGCAGAGCUGCGUCUUCCCUGCAGCUGAUGCUUUUCGUCCCGUUUGUGUCUUCCGCAGGCUAAGAUGGUAAAGUGUGUGUGAUUACUUGUGCCUUCCUUUCUUCAGCCAAAAUCAUUAACGUGAACGUAGGAGUCCAGGUGGGUCUUAGCCUUGAAACACCAGGUGUCUAGCCAGCAGCAAGGAGUGGAGCAGGAAGCUCGGACAGGCGGCUGACUUUGGUCAUGAGGGUGAAGACAGAGGGUCUUGGUUUCUCUCUGACGACUGGAGGUUGAGCCUGGAGCGGCUCUUUCCAGCGCUGCAGUUGAAACUCGGAGAAAGACUGCCUGCUGCCCGUGGGGUCGCAGCCCUGAGGCUGUGCGUCCCCUGUGGAAUGGCUUGCUCAGCCUCCCGGCCUCCUGAGCACAUAGCACUCAUCGUCCGUCAUCUUUCGGGGACUGUAUACACCAGGGGUUCUGGGGCCUUUCCUCAGCAGCGUUCGCGGCCACGGACCCCACAUGUCCUCUGCUGACCCCUGUGUGUCCUCUGUGGCCACCCCAUGGCGCUGAAUCCUGCCGCCUCCUGCAAGCCGACUUUGGACAAAAGCUGUGUCCGGUCUCACCGUCUGAUUUGUCUUGUUCUCUGUUAAUGUAGUGUUUCAUUCUUCUCACAUUCAUACAUAAAAGUGAUGUCGUGCCUUCUCAUGAGCUUU